ACAGCAGUAGCCGCGGUAAUGCGUAGGUCCCGAGCGUUGUCCGGAUUUAUUGGGCGUAAAGCGAGCGCAGGCGGUUAGAUAAGUCUGAAAUUAAAGGCUGUGGCUUAACCAUAGUACGCUUUGGAAACUGUUUAACUUGAGUGCAGAAGGGGAGAGUGGAAUUCCAUGUGUAGCGGUGAAAUGCGUAGAUAUAUGGAGGAACACCGGUGGCGAAAGCGGCUCUCUGGUCUGUAACUGACGCUGAGGCUCGAAAGCGUGGGGAGCGAACAGGAUUAGAUACCCCCGUAGUCCCUGUCUCUUAUACA
rnacentral:rRNA from 1 species